rnacentral:rRNA from 1 species
UACGAAGGGGGCUAGCGUUGCUCGGAAUCACUGGGCGUAAAGGGUGCGUAGGCGGGUCUUUAAGUCAGGGGUGAAAUCCUGGAGCUCAACUCCAGAACUGCCUUUGAUACUGAGGAUCUUGAGUUCGGGAGAGGUGAGUGGAACUGCGAGUGUAGAGGUGAAAUUCGUAGAUAUUGGGAAGAACACCGGUGGCGAAGGCGGCUCUCUGGACCGACACUGACGUUGAGGCGCGAAAGCGUGGGGAGCAAACAGG